rnacentral:rRNA from 1 species
GUGCCAGCCGCCGCGGUAAGACGGAGGAGGCUAGCGUUGUUCGGAAUUACUGGGCGUAAAGCGCGCGCAGGCGGUCUUGCAAGUCAGGGGUGAAAGCCCGGGGCUCAACCUCGGAACUGCCUUUGAGACUGUGAGACUCGAGACCGAGAGAGGAGAGUGGAAUUCCCAGUGUAGAGGUGAAAUUCGUAGAUAUUGGGAAGAACACCAGUGGCGAAGGCGGCUCUCUGGCUCGGUACUGACGCUGAGGCGCGAAAGCGUGGGGAGCAAACAGGAUUAGAAACCCGCGUAGUCC